GGGUCUUCUGAGCAGUGGGGUGUGGCCAGACUUCGCUCCUCUGGCUGGGACAGUCCCAUGCUCGGUGACUGUUCCCGGCGGUCACGGAGGCCGCUCAGCUCAUCCUGGCGAGCGAGGAGCUGCAGUUUUGUCUCGGGGCUUCUCCGGGGAAGGUUGUGAACAGAAACGGGGGUUUGCUCCGAUCGAUAAACGUGCGCUCGGCUCGCAGCCUGCGCCCGGGGAAAGUGAAAGUAACACUGGAAAUUGCCUCAGUCCAACCCCUGUCCCGGGGGGAGGGGAGAGUCUCCUCUGAAAGACACAGCCCCAGUCCCGGGGGGCAGCCAGUGGGGGGGAAACCGGAACUUUAUGUUUACAAAAGAGGCUUUGGUGGUGGUGGUGGUGUGUGUGGGGUGGGGGGGGGGGGGCGCGGGUUGUUGCUAUUUAGUUUAUUAGACUCAGCAAAAGCAGGAAGCAGAUUCUCUUUGAAAUCAGGCCUGGAUUCAGGUAACCGGGUCACCCGAACAACGGACUCUGCUUUUCCUGAGCCCAGAUGGCCCCCAGGACUCCCAAGGGAAGGGUGAGCUAGUGACGGGCACUGCAGUUAGGGGCACGAUAUUCCCUGUGGGGGCCGGGGGGACACAACCAAGUCAGGAAGCAAAUCUCAGGACUCUGCCCCGACAACUGCAGCUGGGACAUUCAAGUGGAACAAACAAGAAGAAUUGUUUGUAAUGGUUUAUUUACAGUAAUUACUAAAGGUGGUAAGUAAACAGAGCUGAGAAGGAGCCUUAAUAACCAUAGCCUGGCAAGCAGAUCCCCAGCUACUGAGAACACUUUUCUUAAUGGCACUAAAAUAGCACCAAUGACCAGGAAUUAAUAUAGGGAAUUAAUGAGUUACAGUCUCAUUUUCAGUAACACGUCAUAAAUCUCUCCGUCCCGCUCACAUUCCCUUUCCUUCUCCCUUUUCCUUCAUUGUCUCUUUUUCUACUCAGCAUUUUUCUAGCCCUCACUUGUGAUACCUGUUUAUUUUCCUCUCCCACUCUCCUCUCCUCCCUCCCACAGAUCAUCCCCCUUGGCUGCUCCCCUCUUUCCCCUAAUUUUAUCCCUUCUCCUCCUGCUGCCCCAAUGAGAUCUAAGGACACAGAUCUGUACAAAACGCUCCCUGCUGCUGCAGAGCUUCCAGCUUCUCCCCAAACGCUGAUUGAUUAAUUCUGUGCCACCCUCACCUCUGCCUGUCCCCAACCCGACUGUUCGUUCUACCUCCUGCCCAGCCCCCACAUCUGCCUCUCAGGGCCCUCUGGCAGCUCCAAGGGGCUCUUCCUCCUCCCCCUCCCAUCCCUGAGGCUGCAGGGAGGGCAGGGAGGAGAUUCAAGGGGUCAUAGAGAUGAGGAGCCAGAGGGUUGGGUAGCCAGAAGUCCUCUACGGUCAUAAAGACUAGGGCAUGCGAGGAUAGAAAGGCUGAUUUUGGGGCCCCCAGUGGGAUAUUCCGCCCCCUGUCUCAGGGACACAGGCUGAGCCUGGAUCCCCCCACCCCCAACCAGAACCAGGGUCGGAUUCUCUCCCCAGGGAUGGAGCCUGGUGGGAAAGUGAAGAUUGGGGCCCCAUCACCAGCAUCACUAAAUGUCACCUGCCACCGGUCACAGUCCAGACAAACCCGCAUCCUGCUGGGGACCUGGCUCAGGGGCAGAGGGGCCUCAGGGGAGGUGAGAGCCCGGAACUGCCCCCCGCACUGCCCCACAGCCCAGAUCCCCUGCUCAGGGCUCAGGCUGAUCCAUCCCUUCCUCCUCACAGACUCUCUGGCCACCCCCACAGCCCAGAGUUCCCCAUCCCCCACCUCCACCUCCCAGCAAUGUGUCUCCACGGUGAAUCCCUCACAGCCCAGCACACAGGCCCUAGAAUCAAAUCUCUCAGGGUUGUCGGGCAGAUUCUGCCACGUGUCUCCCCAUCUCACACUUUUCCCAUCCUCAGACAGGAUGAGUUGGGACUGAGCCGUGUCUGGAUCCAGCGUCACAUUCACUAGGAAGAGAGAGAAUCAGAGCGUGAGGGGCAGAGCUCAGCCCUGGGGGAGGCCGGGGCCAUUUCUCACACUCCCCAGCAGCCCCGUCCUGGCUGGGACAGGCCUGGAUCCCAGGGAGCUGCCUCUGACCUGGGCUCCUGAGACUGAGCAGGGACCUCACUGCACUUCCUCAGUCUUUUUCUCUUCAGCUGCCAGCUCCCUCUGCUGGGGCUGCUCCAUUCCCAGCGGCAGAGACACAGCCAGGAAAGUGUCAGAAGCUUUUAUUGAGGAGGGAACAGAGGAGGCAAGAACCAGCUUUAAACCCCAGAGGGAAGCUCCCUCCCCAAUGCAGAGACGGGUCCGUGAUGGAGUGAAAGGAUCUUUCCCCUCCUGCCCCCACCUCUCCCAGGGAGGGGACUAGAGACUCUAGCAGCCCCAGCAGAUGGUACAACUCACUGAACAUUGGCAGAGCUUCCCCCCACCCCACCUCCAAUCUCACUGUGUCCCAGCUCCCCCUGUGCUGGACUUUGGUGUGGGGCCUCCCCACUGCACUGGCCUGCUCUGAAAUGUCACAGCUCGGACAGGAACAAGCCACACGGUACCAGGAUUGAACCUGCCCAGAAUGUCACGGCUCAGCAGCAGUCACAGCAAAAAGGUCCAGUAGCCUGGGGGAGGGAGGGGUCAGCACCACUGAAGGGGGUUCAUGGUGGAACGAGGCAGAAGCUAUGCAUGUGGGGGGAGCAGGGGCAAACUAGGGUUUUGUGAGGCCCUGGGCCAGAGCAAGUGGGGGCUUCUCCCGACCCCUUCUCCCUGAAGUCCGCCAUCCCCCCCUGCGCUUCUUCCAGGGAAAUGGGGUCAGGGCACAGGGGCUUGCCACACUCCGCCCACCUGGCGCUCCAGGCGGAUAGCAGGGCAAGCCCCUGCACCCCGACUUCACUCCCCGGCUGAAGUGCCAGGUGGGUGGAGUGGGGCAAGCUCUUGAACUCUGACCCUGCUCCUUGGCAGGACUGCUGGGCAGGCAGAACAGGUUGGGGCCCAGAGGCGUCCAUUUUUCUGGGCCGCCCAAUUGGCUGGGGCCCCUGGGCACAGGCCCUGUUAGCCCAGUGGCUAAUCCGCCACUAGGAGGAUGUGUGGAACAGGUGGCCGGUGGAAAUAAGGAGAGGGUCAUGCCAGUGAUGGGGGGACUGAAGUGACGUCCUGUUUACCAGAGACAGGAGCAUACUUGGGUCAUGGUGGAUAGAGAGAGGAGAAAAGAGACAAGCUCACAGCUCUGAUCACAGGAGCUUCCUACAUCUUUAUAAUGGAUCCAAGGGAACCCCUCUCUGUGAUCAAGGCUUGAGGCUGGAGCAAGGGUCUCACACAGACACAGUCCCUGCUCACCCCGUCAGUGUGGGGUCACUGCAGAGCUCCUGGCUUUCUUCAACGGGGAAAAGAUGAAGGAAGAAACAGGGAGACACUGGAGAUCAGCCAUCAGCACAGGAAGAUUAAACAAACUCCCCCCGGAGAAGUGGCUGUGGACUGGAUCUGUACAGUGAGUAGGAGCUGCUGUCACAGAUCUCGGCAGGGUGCAGCGCACAUGUUGGCAGUGGAGGGGAAGGAAGAGUAGAUGCGAUAUGUCGUCGAUUCAGUAUGGUGUGGUAGGACAUAGGCACAAACCCUGCCUCAUGAUGCGCCGUGAAAUGCAGGGUGCUGGGGAGGUCUGCCCUGAACGAUCACAUCAACCCCCACAUUCGAGGAAAAAAGGGGCACAUUGCCUCCUGGGAACAGAUAUUUGGAGACUGAUAAAAUAUGAUCUUAAAUUACCUUCUUCUAUAGGUGCCACAGAUCUUCUCCACCCUAAAACCAGCCACAUAAUUAGAGAUGAGAGUGGAUCUGAACACGUAUUGCAUGAUUCAAUAUUGUAUAAACUAAUGACUGAUGGAAAAAGAAAGUUCUUCCAGACAUAUAUUAAAAUGUAAAGCAUCAGAACCUCCAUUAGGUUGCAUGAGUGUCUCUCUCCCAGGGUGGAUCUUCACUGCAGAGUUAGCCCAGGAUCUUACUUGCCAGCUUCCCCAAACUGUUACUUGUGCAAGCCCAAAAACUCUGACUCAAGUUUGGUGGUGUUUUACACCCAGGCUAGCUGGCAAGACUUUGGGUAUAGGCUAUUGCCCAGGUUCCACUUUAAUUCAGGUUGGUUACAUCCCACACUUUGCAGUGUGGAGGGAGGUUAAUCAUCUCAGGGGCUGAUACUUCACCAGAGCCUUCCGACAAUUCCUCCCGGGCCAUAUUUUCUUGGCCACUACCCACUUUACUACUGUAUUGCUUAUCAAUUUUUCAAAUUAGCUCUUGGUGUGAAAUUCAUCCAGUUUAGUCUUUCCCCAUAUUUUAUAAAGUUACAUGAAAAAACAACCACCCACAUCCCCCAAAGGAAUGACAGUAAAAAAGCAAACAAACAAAAAAGGGUUUCCAAUUGCAACAACUUUAAAAAUUAAAUUUAAAAGCAAACAUCUCCACCACAAUUAAACAAACUGCCACACCAAGAUCGAAUUUUGUUACAAAAACUUUCUUGUCAGAGCAAGGACAAUGAUACUUACUUAUUUCUUUAUCUCGUAUGGCUAAAAAUUAAACAGAAAUAAAUACAUAUUUUUGUUCGGCA